GGCGGGGCUAGUGGAAAAAACAAUUCCUUGGCUGCCUCCUCCCUCUGCCCUCCCCCUUCCGACUCCCGGACGACCCCCAUUAGGUUAAAGUACACACAACGUAAGCGAGAGAUCCCUCCGCCACAGCCAUUCUUCUCAGUGGUUGCCUCUCGGAACGCAAAAAAGUCCAGCGAAAUCGGUUAUCAACUUUAGGGCCCAGAGAGGAACAUUGCAGUGGUGCACAGAAAAGACCGAAUGGCGGACCCGGGCUAUAAGCGCCUAUUGUAUGUGCUCCUCAAGUGCACAGGCUGUCGACCAAAGGUGGGCUUUCUACUUGGCGGAGGAAUCUCACAGGAAAGGGGUGAAGGCGGCGCAGAGCCCGUGGGGGAGGAAAGAGACGGAACGUGCGAUUUCAGGCGUACUCAACUGGAGGGUGGAGCGACAGUGCUCUGGGGGCUCCUGCGCAGGCGCCUCGCGCAGCGGAGGCCGGAGCUGGGCGAAAUGGCCGCCGGAGGCGCAGGCGCACGUGGUGCGGAUCGUGGAAUGUCUAGAGUCCGCCAUUUUGAAAGAAACAUGAAGAAAGGCCUGGAGUCCCUGGGAAAUGACCUUCCUUAAAUCUAGAGCAAAGGAAGCCAUUCAGUACCAUGCAGAAUGGGAUUUUUUUUUUUUAAUGUAAAGGAAGAAUGGAAAGAUAUCCUGAGACUUAUAAAUUGAAAGACUAGAUUAAGACCGUAAAUUAUGAAGAGGCUGUGACUUUGAAGGACAGAGGAGGUGAGAUGUGAUUGUGUGAUUUGGAAGUUGAGUUUUUUGGUUGAAUGAAGAAGAAAUAAAAUGAAGGACUUGAAGAUCUCUUCCUUUAUAAAGGCUGGUACUUGACAUGGCAUCCUAUUUAAUCCUUAAACUAAUGAGUGAAGAACUUAAGAAGUGUGAAAACUGAGAGUCAGAAAAAUUUCAGAAGUGUAUUUGAGAUUAUAGAUGCAAGUUAACUCCAGACCAUUGGAAAGGAAGGUAGGAAGCAAAGACAACCUAUCCAGUCCAACACAAGUAGAAAAAUGGAAACAAGAAAAGGAAAAUAGAAGUAUGGUAAAUAGAAGAAAAUAAAAUUAAAGGAGCUACACAAUGUCCUGAGAGAAUUCAUUAUGAGAAAAAUGUCAAUCACAGCUGUAAGACCUUACUGUGGAAGAAAUGAAUGAGAAAGCAAAUUGGAAGGCAAGACUUCAUUUUUGUUUUUAAAUGAGUAAGCUGGAGAUUCAGAUAAGUGAAGCUCAAGACCACACAGCUAAUAUCUAGAUCUGGGAUUCAGAAACAAGCCUCGAUCCAGGCUGCGUUUGCCAUACCUUGUGAACAGUGGAUGGCUCCUGAGUCAGAACAAAACACAAUAGUCCACUUCUGAGAACACACCUCAUGUUUCCCAAAUUAAAGUUCUAACUCCAAGACCUAGUCCUUCUUACAAGAUGCCCCAUGGGCACUGUUGGGCCCUGCACUGCGGGGAGUCAUGGCCCUCCAGAAUGCUAAUAGAGAGCCCUAAGAAUCAGAGAAGGGUCUCUACUCCCGUUCAUCACAGUUGCCUCUGACCUCCUCACUGUUCAAGCCUCCAGUGUUUCUAGUAUGAUACCUUUCGCUUUGAGGUUACUUGUGGGACCCGGGGAUCUUUUUGAAGGUUGGAAAUUCCCUACUGGGGUCUCAGCCUCCCUCUUUUUCAUACUCAGUCCUCCUCCUGAGGCCUGGCCACCAUCUGGAAGCUGGAGCAGAGCAAGAGUGACAUCUCACAGAUCCCCUGACCUC